GGACCAAGGAGUAUAGCAUGUGCGCGAGUCAUUGGGACAAUAACGAAACCUAAAGGCGCAAUGAAAGUGAAGGUCCGCCUCGCGCGGACCUAGGGAGGAUGGGCGGUCGCCCAGUGGCCGCCCCGCACUCCCGGGGCGUCUCGUUCUCAUCGCGAGAAGAGGCGCACCCAGAGCGUACACGCUGGGACCCGAAAGAUGGUGAACUAUGCCUGGUCAGGACGAAGUCAGGGGAAACCCUGAUGGAGGUCCGUAGCGAUUCUGACGUGCAAAUCGAUCGUCGGAACUGGGUAUAGGGGCGAAAGACUAAUCGAACCAUCUAGUAGCUGGUUCCCUCCGAAGUUUCCCUCAGGAUAGCUGGCGCUCGCUUCUUGCGAGUCUCAUUCGGUAAAGCGAAUGAUUAGAGGCAUUGGGGUCGAAACGGCCUCAACCUAUUCUCAAACUUUAAAUGGGUGAGAUCUCCGGCUUGCUUGAACAGUGAAGCCGCGAGAUAUCGGAUCAGAGUGCCAAGUGGGCCACUUUUGGUAAGCAGAACUGGCGCUGUGGGAUGAACCAAACGCCGAGUUAAAGCGCCUAAAUCGACGCUUAUGGGAUACCAUGAAAGGCGUUGGUAACUUAAGACAGCAGGACGGUGGCCAUGGAAGUCUGAA
rnacentral:rRNA from 1 species